GAAAAAAAAGACAAAAAUAAAAUCUGACAAGAUAAGAAUAGACAUGGUGGCGGGCUGGUCCUGCUCUGUAACUGCCUUUAGUUCUGCUGAAGAUCUUUGACUCUGAUAGAAUUAAAUUUCAUUGCCAGAAAAAUGGUUUGUUUCUUUGCCUUGUGUACGGAGUCUUGGAGUAAUCUCGAGUGAAAGAAUGCUUGCUAUAUUACUGGUAUGGUCAUUGGCUAGAAAAUGUCACAAAAUUAUUUUCCUUGUAAACACCUCUAUAUUAGUUAAAGAACGGAAUAAAAUAAGAGAUAAAGGAAUUGAAAGGUAUUGGUAUGAAAUAAAUAUGUUCCCCUUGUCAUAUCUUUUCAAAUGAAAGGAGUUUCUUUAGAAAUGAGCACAAGGUUCAUUCUAAACACUUUGUUGAGACAGUUUAGUUCUCAAGGAUGACUGUCUUUCAGAAAAACAAAAUUUAACAGCCUGACAUACUGCCAAAGAGGACUUUCAAAUCUAUGGCACAAAAGUGAGGUAUUUCUACUGCUGGGACAUGCUCUUAUUUGCAGUUUAAGUCUUCUAAAAGACAGUGAAAGUUAUGCUGUUUGAUAGCCACUCAAGUAAUCUGUUCCUGAUGCAUUGUGGAUCCAGAGUCUGCAGUCACAAUUUAGUAUGUGCGCAGAGGAAGUGCCUCAUAGCCUCAGCUACAACCCAGAGUUAAAUCAUUCUCAUUGCUGUGUGUGUAUAGGGCAAAAGAAAGUUUCCUACAUAACCCUGCUUAUAUAUGCAUAUAUAUGUAGUAUGUGAUUUUAUACAUACAUAUAUAUAUAUAUAAAUGCACAUUUACAUGUAUAUAUAAAUGGCAACUCUCUGCUAGCUGAAGCAGGGAACAUGCUGAACCAUCAUUUUGUGUGCCUGAGAGACACGUGUGUAUCAGCACAUGGACAAGACCAAUGCUGCCAGAACUUCUGGGUGCGUUGCACUGAUGCUAUGUUUUAAUCAGACCUUAAGUUGCACAAGAGGUGACUUGUUAAUCUACAACCUUAUUGAAAAUGAUGGAGGUGUAUCUGUGUGCAGUAGACUGAAAGAGAAAAUAUAUUUGUAAGGUUUGAGAUACUCUAACUAAUCAAAUACCCAGCAGAAAAGCAUAUUAUCCAGCAAAUUGAUGAAUUUCACAAUUGGAGAGACACAAAAUGGCUUGCCAAAAGGUGCUGUGAUUAAGAAAGUUGUUGGGUUAUAAUUCAUGUACCAAGCUGAACAGCAAACCUGCUCUGUGUGGGAGUAAAUAAGAAAGGGUUUGAGCAUUGUUUAGUGACUCAGCUUGUCCACAUUUUUCAUCAUCAGCAGUGACCAAUAGCAAAAUGUUCAGAAGAAAAUGCAAAGUACCUUACAAGGGACCUUGAUAGGUUGACUGUACUCAAGGGAGUUUCCCUUCCUAAAAGCUAAAAGUGACCCUGGCUUGAUAUAAACCUCCAAAGCUUGUAUGUAAGUUAGCAGUGAUUGGCUUCCCCUAUGGGUGCUACUGACACAUUUAUAAAUGAAUAAUCUCUUCGCUGUUUGUGAUAUACUGAUAUUCCAUCUUGUGACUAUUCCCUAAAUUAACUGCACCAAAAAAAUCUGUCAGGUGAAAGUAUUUUUAAAUCAUGUUUUUCAACUUUUUUUUCAGUUCCGUUUCCUCUUUCUUUUGUGCUAAAAGACAGAGCCCAUACCAGAUCUGACUUUUAUCUCUACCAGCUGACUGAGAAGGUGAACAGAAGCUGUGUAAAGUCAGCGUGUUUGACAUAUAGCAGCCUAGAGAUUGCCAGUCAGAAGCAAUGGAGAAAACACCCUGCUUUAGUUUUAUGCCUACUCAAGAGCACUGAAGCAUUCAGACGCCACUGAAAUUGUGCAUAUAUCUAAGAUAAAUUAAGUCCUACUUGUUCCUUCAAUUUCUAUUAGAAGAUGCAAUGUAACUUGCAUAUAGCUGAAUAUAAUAUUGCAUGUGUUCUUAGAGAAUGUUUGGCAAUGUCAGAUGUGGCCUUUCUUUAAUCAGGUUCUACAUGUGGUUUAUUAAAUUGUUAAAGGUCAUAUGCUCAAGUGGAUAAAAAGGCAGUUGAUAUUUUGAAAGUAAUUGUCACAUCCUGCAAUUGCGAAUGAUAUAGGGAAUGGGUAAAGCAAAUGUUU